rnacentral:rRNA from 1 species
GAUGAACGCUGGCGGCAUGCCUUACACAUGCAAGUCGAACGGCAGCACGGGAGCAAUCCUGGUGGCGAGUGGCGAACGGGUGAGUAAUAUAUCGGAACGUGCCCAGUCGUGGGGGAUAACGCGGCGAAAGCUGUGCUAAUACCGCAUACGAUCUAAGGAUGAAAGCGGGGGAUCGCAAGACCUCGCGCGAUUGGAGCGGCCGAUAUCAGAUUAGCUAGUUGGUGGGGUAAAGGCCCACCAAGGCGACGAUCUGUAGCUGGUCUGAGAGGACGACCAGCCACACUGGAACUGAGACACGGUCCAGACUCCUACGGGAGGCAGCAGUGGGGAAUUUUGGACAAUGGGCGCAAGCCUGAUCCAGCAAUGCCGCGUGCAGGAUGAAGGCCUUCGGGUUGUAAACUGCUUUUGUACGGAACGAAACGGCCCUUUCUAAUACAGGGGGCUAAUGACGGUACCGUAAGAAUAAGCACCGGCUAACUACGUGCCAGCCGCCGCCGUAA